rnacentral:misc_RNA from 1 species
UAAUGCUAUACUUCGAGUAAAAAUCAAAUGGACCACCAAUAGCCGGUACACCAAAAAUAUCAUGAUUUCCUCGGAGAUCGUAAAACACAUUUUUCUUCAGUCCACUCUUUUUAAUGACAUUGUUCAUGACUUUCUUGUAUUCCAACCACUCCUCUUCAUCUUGCUUCAUUAUUAGUAAAUCCUUGCUCUUUCCAUCAGUAAGAUCACCAGUAAUGAAGACUAAUGAAGGAUUGAUCAUAGAAAGAGAAGGACCCACAAUUUUUUCGAAGCCAAGAGCACGUUCAGGAUGAUGAACACUGAAAUGAA